AGUGAACGCUGGCGGUAGGCCUAACACAUGCAAGUCGAACGGCAGCACAGUAAGAGCUUGCUCUUACGGGUGGCGAGUGGCGGACGGGUGAGGAAUACAUCGGAAUCUACUUUUUCGUGGGGGAUAACGUAGGGAAACUUACGCUAAUACCGCAUACGACCUACGGGUGAAAGCAGGGGAUCUUCGGACCUUGCGCGAUUGAAUGAGCCGAUGUCGGAUUAGCUAGUUGGCGGGGUAAAGGCCCACCAAGGCGACGAUACGUAGCUGGUCUGAGAGGAUGAUCAGCCCCACUGGAACUGAGACACGGUCCAGACUCCUACGGGAGGCAGCAGUGGGGAAUAUUGGACAAUGGGCGCAAGCCUGAUCCAGCCAUACCGCGUGGGUGAAGAAGGCCUUCGGGUUGUAAAGCCCUUUUGUUGGGAAAGAAAAGCAGCAGGUUAAUACCCCGCUGUUCGGACGGUACCCAAAGAAUAAGCACCGGCUAACUUCGU
rnacentral:rRNA from 1 species